GUACACACCGCGUCGCUCCUACCGAUUGAAUAAAGGCAUGAGGAGUACGGAGGUCUUUGAUAUGGUCCUGUUUCGGCAGGUUCCCAAUCAGAGCCAAUGUAUUUCAAAUGUUUCUAUUUAGAGGAAGGAGAAGUCGUAACAAGGUCUUCGUAGGUGAACCUGCAGAAGGAUCA
rnacentral:rRNA from 1 species